UAAUACGGAGGGUGCAAACGUUGCUCGGAAUUAUUGGGCGUAAAGCGAACGUAGGCGGUCCGAUAAGUCGGAUGUGAAAGCCCUCGGCUUAACCGAGGAAGUGCAUUCGAAACUGCCGGACUUGAGUACAGUAGAGGGUCGCGGAAUUCCCGGUGUAGAGGUGAAAUUCGUAGAUAUCGGGAGGAACACCAGUGGCGAAGGCGGCGACCUGGGCUGACACUGACGCUGAGGUUCGAAAGCGUGGGGAGCAAACAGGAUUAGAUACCCUGGUAGUCCACGCCGUAAACGAUGGGUGCUAGGUGUUGCGGGUAUUGACCCCUGCGGCGCCGCAGCUAACGCAUUAAGCACCCCGCCUGGGGAUUACGGUCGCAAGACUA
rnacentral:rRNA from 1 species